rnacentral:rRNA from 1 species
UUGAUCCUGGCUCAGAAUCAACGCUGGCGGCGUGCCUAACACAUGCAAGUCGAACGCGAAAGCCCCGCAAGGGGUAAGUAGAGUGGCAAACGGGUGAGUUACACGUGGGUGACCUGCCUUCGAGUGGGGGAUAACGUCCCGAAAGGGACUCUAAUACCGCAUAAUAUCCUGCCUUUUAAGAGGUGGACAUCAAAGCUGGUGACCGCAAGGCCUGGCGCUUGAAGAGGGGCCCGCGCCUGAUUAGCUAGUUGGUGGGGUAAUGGCUCACCAAGGCUUCGAUCAGUAUCCGGCCUGAGAGGUCGGACGGACACACUGGGACUGAGACACGGCCCAGACUCCUACGGGAGGCUGCAGUGGGGAAUUGUUCGCAAUGGGCGCAAGCCUGACGACGCAACGCCGUGUGGAGGAUGAAGACCUUCGGGUCGUAAACUCCUUUCGAUCGAGACGAAUGGUCUCCGGGUGAACAGCCUGGGGAAGUGACGGUACCGAGAGAAGAAGCUCCGGCUAACUCCGUGCCAGCAGCCGCGGUAAUAAGGU